rnacentral:rRNA from 1 species
UGUGCAAGUGGUAGGAGAGCGUUCUAUUUGCGUCGAAGGUAUACCGGUAAGGAGUGCUGGAGCGAAUAGAAGUGAGCAUGCAGGCAUGAGUAGCGAUAAUUAAUGUGAGAAUCAUUAACGCCGUAAACCCAAGGUUUCCUACGCGAUGCUCGUCAUCGUAGGGUUAGUCGGGUCCUAAGUCGAGUCCGAAAGGGGUAGACGAUGGCAAAUUGGUUAAUAUUCCAAUACCAACAUUAGUGUGCGAUGGAAGGACGCUUAGGGCUAAGGGGGCUAGCGGAUGGAAGUGCUAGUCUAAGGUUGUAGGAGGUUAUACAGGCAAAUCCGUAUAACAAUACUCCGAGAACUGAAAGGCUUUUUGAAGUCUUCGGAUGGAUAGAAGAACCCCUGAUGCCGUCGAGCCAAGAAAAGUUUCUAAGUUUAGCUAAUGUUGCCCGUACCGUAAACCGACACAGGUGGGUGGGAUGAGUAUUCUAAGGCGCGUGGAAGAACUCUCUUUAAGGAACUCUGCAAAAUAGCACC